UCAUUAUUUCUUAUUUUUUCUUUAUUAAUGUCUUAAUUUAAUUUAUUAUCUUUUAGUAUAAAUUAGAAAUAAUUAUUGUAUUUUACUGUCAAGGAUUAAUUUAAUUGUUCUAGUAGUAUUUUUAGUACCUUUUGUAUCAGGGUUGAUUAAUUUAUUAAUAUAUAUUUAUUUUCCCGAAUUAAGGAUAUUUAAUGUUAAAUUUUUUUUUUAUGUUUUAUAUUAUUAAUAAAUUUAAUUUUAGUAGUUAAAAGUUAUUCGUUCCUUAAAUAUAUCUGGUUUUAUAGGAAUUAAAUUUAAUUUAGGUUUAUUUUUUAUUCUUAUAUAAUUGGGGAUAAUCUCUAUUUUUUGUUAAAAUAUAUAUUUAUAUUAUUUUUUAUAUCUUUAGAAUCCUAGAAUUGUAGUUCGUAAUAGAUUUAAAUUUAUUAUUUAUGAUUUUGUUUUUAUUUAUCUUUAUACUAUAAUUAUUUAAUUAAUUUAUAUUUAUUUUCAUUAAUGAUUAAAUUAGUAUAAUUUUUAUUUAAUUAUUUAUGAAUUCGACAAAUUUAAUUUCCAACUGUUUAUCAAAAACAUUUCUUUAAGAUUUAUAUUUAAAGUAGGUUCUGCCCUAUGAAUAAUAACUUAAAUGGCUGCAGUAUCUUGACUGUGCAAAGGUAGCAUAAUAAUUAGUUUCUUAAUUAGGGGCUUGUAUGAAUGAAUUAAUGAGAAAUUUAUUUUAUUAUAAUUAUUUUUAUAAUUUAAAUUUUAAGUCAAAAUGCUUAAUUUUUCUAUUGGGACGAUAAGACCCUAUAGAACUUUUAAUUAAUUUUUAUCUAUUAUGAUUUAGUUUUAAUAAUUAAGAUAUUUAUUUAUUUUUUGCUGGGGUGGUAAAUAAAUUUUAACUUUAUUUUUUAUAAUCAUUAUAUUUAUGUUUUAUUUGAUCCAUUUAUUAUGAUUUUAAGAUUAAGUUACCUUAGGGAUAACAGCGUAAUUUUAAUGGAAAGUUCAUAUUUAUAUUAAAGUUUGCGACCUCGAUGUUGAAUUAAGAUUAAAUUAAGGGGUAGGUUCUUUAAUAUUAGGUCUGUUCGACCUUUAAAAUCUUACAUGAUUUGAGUUCAAACCGGUGUGAGCCAGGUUGGUUUCUAUCUGAUUGUUAUUUAAUCUUUUUAGUACGAAAGGACCAUUAGAUUCUAUAUUAUAGUUAAUUUGAAUUUUAUU
rnacentral:rRNA from 1 species